rnacentral:rRNA from 1 species
CUACGGGCGGCACCAGUAGGGAAUCUUAGACAAUGGGGGAAACCCUGAUCUAGCCAUGCCGCGUGAGUGAUGAAGGCCUUAGGGUUGUAAAGCUCUUUCGCUGGGGAAGAUAAUGACGGUACCCAGUAAAGAAACCCCGGCUAACUCCGUGCCUGCAGCCGCGGUAAUACGGAGGGGGUUAGCGUUGUUCGGAAUUACUGGGCGUAAAGCGCGCGUAGGCGGGCUAUUAAGUCAGGGGUGAAAUCCCGGGGCUCAACCCCGGAACUGCCUUUGAUACUGGUAGUCUUGAGGUCGAGAGAGGUGAGUGGAAUUCCGAGUGUAGAGGUGAAAUUCGUAGAUAUUCGGAGGAACAUCAGUGGCGAAGGCGACUCACUGGCUCGAUACUGACGCUGAGGUGCGAAAGUGUGGGGAGCAAACAGGAUUAGAUACCCCCGUAGUC